rnacentral:rRNA from 1 species
UAGGGANUCUUCGGCAAUGGGGGCAACCCUGACCGAGCAACGCCGCGUGAGUGAAGAAGGUUUUCGGAUCGUAAAGCUCUGUUGUAAGUCAAGAACGAGUGUGAGAGUGGAAAGUUCACACUGUGACGGUAGCUUACCAGAAAGGGACGGCUAACUACGUGCCAGCAGCCGCGGUAAUACGUAGGUCCCGAGCGUUGUCCGGAUUUAUUGGGCGUAAAGCGAGCGCAGGCGGUUUGAUAAGUCUGAAGUUAAAGGCUGUGGCUCAACCAUAGUUCGCUUUGGAAACUGUCAAACUUGAGUGCAGAAGGGGAGAGUGGAAUUCCAUGUGUAGCGGUGAAAUGCGUAGAUAUAUGGAGGAACACCGGUGGCGAAAGCGGCUCUCUGGUCUGUAACUGACGCUGAGGCUCGAAAGCGUGGGGAGCGAACAGGAUUAGAUACCCUGGUAGUCCACGCCGUNNNGAUGAGUGCUAGGUGUUGGAUCCUUUCCGGGAUUCAGUGCCGCAGCUAACGCAUUAAGCACUCCGCCUGGGGAGUACGACCGCAAGGUU